UCCGGCGGUGCUGGCGGGGAGGAAACACCUGUUCCCAUCCCGAACACAGAAGUUAAGGUCCCCAGCGCCAUGGUACUGUGCGGGCAGCUGCACGGGAGAGAAGGACGCUGCCGGGA
rnacentral:rRNA from 1 species